rnacentral:rRNA from 1 species
AAGCAUAUCAAUAAGCGGAGGAAAAGAAACUAACAAGGAUUCCCCUAGUAACUGCGAGUGAAGCGGGAAAAGCUCAAAUUUAAAAUCUGGCAGUCUUUGGCUGUCCGAGUUGUAGUCUGGAGAAGCGUUUUCCGCGCUGGACCGUGUACAAGUCUCCUGGAAUGGAGCGUCAUAGAGGGUGAGAAUCCCGUCUUUGACACGGACUACCAGUGCUUUGUGAUGCGCUCUCAAAGAGUCGAGUUGUUUGGGAAUGCAGCUCAAAAUGGGUGGUAAAUUCCAUCUAAAGCUAAAUAUUGGCGAGAGACCGAUAGCGAACAAGUACCGUGAGGGAAAGAUGAAAAGCACUUUGGAAAGAGAGUUAAACAGUACGUGAAAUUGCUGAAAGGGAAACGCUUGAAGUCAGUCGCGUUUGCUAGAACUCAGCCUGGCUUUUGCUUGGUGCAUUUUCUAGUAAACGGGCCAGCAUCAGUUUCGGCUGCGGGAAAAAGGCCAGGGGAAUGUGGCAACUUCGGUUGUGUUAUAGCCCUUGGUCAUAUACCGUGGCUGGGACUGAAGAACUCAUCAUGCCGCAAGGCGGGGCUUCGGCCACCUUCAUGCUUAGGAUGC